GAUGAACGCUAGCGGCAGGCUUAAUACAUGCAAGUCGAGGGGCAGCAGGGCUGUAGCAAUACAGUCGCUGGCGACCGGCAAACGGGUGCGGAACACGUACGCAACUUACCCAAAACUGGGGAAUAGCCCGGGGAAACCCGGAUUAAUACCUCGUAACAUAAUGGAGUGGCAUCACUUUAUUAUUAUAGCUCCGGCGGUUUGGGAUGGGCGUGCGCCUGAUUCGGUAGUUGGCGGGGUAACGGCCCACCAAGCCUGCGAUCAGUAACUGGUGUGAGAGCCCGACCAGUCACACGGGCACUGAGACACGGGCCCGACUCCUACGGGAGGCAGCAGUAAGGAAUAUUGGUCAAUGGACGCAAGUCUGAACCAGCCAUGCCGCGUGAAGGAUGAAGGUCCUCUGGAUUGUAAACUUCUUUUAUAUGGGACGAAACCCCCUGAUUCCUCAGGGAUUGACGGUACCAUAGGAAUAAGCACCGGCUAACUCCGUGCCAGCAGCCGCCGUAAAAC
rnacentral:rRNA from 1 species